GGAAAGCCCUGCCACGACUACCGGGACCCCACCGCCCCAGUAAUGGGAGCGGGUGCCCGCGGCUAAGAGCUGCGGGUACGGUAAAGCACCGAAGUCUAGGGGCGAUCCGCCGCCAAACCCUCCCCGCACCGGGAGGGCCCAGCUCACAGGCCAGACGGCGAUGGGCGCAGUCGCGCUUAAGAUAUGGUCGAGUGACCCGUCGAGAGGCGGGUGCAACUCAGGAACGUCCGUAGGUGAACCUGCGGAAGGAUCAUU
rnacentral:rRNA from 1 species